UGCCAGCCGCCGCGGUAAUACGAAGGGUGCUAGCGUUAUUCGGAAUUAUUGGGCGUAAAGCGCGGGCAGGCGGUCUAUUAAGUCCUCUGUGAAAAUCCGGGGCUCAACCCCGGAAAUGCAGAAGAUACUGGUAGACUGGAGACCGGUAGAGGCUAGCGGAAUUCCUGGUGUAGCGGUGGAAUGCGUAGAUAUCAGGAAGAACACCUGUGGCGAAGGCGGCUAGCUGGGCCGGGUCUGACGCUCAUCCGCGAAAGCGUGGGGAGCAAACAGGAUUAGAUA
rnacentral:rRNA from 1 species